rnacentral:rRNA from 1 species
GAUGAACGCUGGCGGCGUGCCUAAUACAUGCAAGUCGAGCGAACAGAUGAGGAGCUUGCUCCUCUGACGUUAGCGGCGGACGGGUGAGUAGCACGUGGAUAACCUACCUAUAAGACUGGGAUAACUUCGGGAAGCCGGAGCUAAUACCGGAUAAUAUAUUGAACCGCAUGGUUCAAUAGUGAAAGACGGUUUUGCUGUCACUUAUAGAUGGAUCCGCGCCGCAUUAGCUAGUUGGUAAGGUAACGGCUUACCAAGGCAACGAUGCGUAGCCGACCUGAGAGGGUGAUCGGCCACACUGGAACUGAGACACGGUCCAGACUCCUACGGGAGGCAGCAGUAGGGAAUCUUCCGCAAUGGGCGAAAGCCUGACGGAGCAACGCCGCGUGAGUGAUGAAGGUCUUCGGAUCGUAAAACUCUGUUAUUAGGGAAGAACAAAUGUGUAAGUAACUAUGCACGUCUUGACGGUACCUAAUCAGAAAGCCACGGCUAACUACGUG